rnacentral:rRNA from 1 species
UACGAAGGGAGCUAGCGUUGUUCGGAAUCACUGGGCGUAAAGCGCACGUAGGCGGAUGUGUCAGUCAGGGGUGAAAUCCCGGAGCUCAACUUCGGAACUGCCCUUGAUACAGCACGUCUUGAGUCCGGAAGAGGUGGGUGGAAUUCCUAGUGUAGAGGUGAAAUUCGUAGAUAUUAGGAAGAACACCGGUGGCGAAGGCGGCCACUGGUCCGGUACUGACGCUGAGGUGCGAAAGCGUGGGGAGCAAACAGGA